CCUACGGGCGGCAGCAGUAGGGAAUCUUCCACAAUGGGCGAAAGCCUGAUGCAGCAACGCCGCGUGGGUGAAGAAGGUCUUCGGAUCGUAAAACCCUGUUGUUAGAGAAGAAAGUGCGGGAGCGUAACUGUUCACGCUUCGACGGUAUCUAACCAGAAAGCCACGGCUAACUACGUGCCAGCAGCCGCGGUAAUACGUAGGUGGCAAGCGUUACCCGGAUUUAUUGGGCGUAAAGGGAACGCAGGCGGUCUUUUAAGUCUGAUGUGAAAGCCUUCGGCUUAACCGGAGUAGUGCAUUGGAAACUGGGAGACUUGAGUGCGGGAGAGGCAGGUGGAACUCCAGGUGUAGCGGUGAAAUGCGUAGAUAUAGCGAAGAACACCAGUGGCGAAGGCGGCUCUCUGGUGUGUAACUGACGCUGAGGUUCGAAAGCGUGGGUAGCAAACAGGAUUAGAUACCCUAGUAGUC
rnacentral:rRNA from 1 species